AUGGGAGCGGCCAUGGCGGAGGAGAAGAGGGCGCACGCGAUGAUGUUCCCGUUCCCGUGCUCGGGCCACAUCAACCCGACGCUGAAGCUGGCGGAGCUGCUGCACUCGCGCGGGGUGCACGUCACCUUCGUCAACACCGAGCACAACCACGAGCGGCUGCUGCGGACGGGCGGCGCGCGGCUCGCCGGCCGGGACGGGUUCCGGUUCGAGUCCGUGCCCGACGGGCUGGACGACGCGGACCGCGCCGCGCCCGACAAGACGGUGAGGCUCUACCUGUCGCUGCGGAGGAGCUGCGGCCCGCCGCUGGUGGACCUGGCGCGCCGGCUCGGGGAGCAAGAGGGCGUGCCGCCCGUCACCUGCGUCGUGCUCAGCGGCCUCGCCAGCUUCGUGCUGGGCGUCGCGGAGGAGCUCCGCGUGCCGUCCUUCGUCAUCUGGGGCACCAGCGCCGUCGGCUUCGUCUGCACGCUCCGGCUGCGCCAGCUCACACAGAGAGGCUACACGCCGCUCAAAGAUGAGAGCUACUUGACCAACGGGUACCUGGACACGCCGAUCGACUGGAUCGCCGGGAUGCCGGCGGUGCGGCUCGGCGACAUCUCCAGCUUCGUCCGGACGGUGGAGCCGAACGGAUUCGGCCUGCGCGUGGAGGAGGAGGAGGCCAACAGCUGCGCCAGGGCGCAGGGCCUCAUCCUCAACACGUUCGACGAGCUCGAGUCAGACGUCCUGGGCGCGCUCCGGGACGAGUUCCCGCGCGUGUACACCAUCGGGCCGCUCGCGGCCGCCAUGCACCGCCGCGUCGACCACGGCGCGUCCGGGCUGAGCCUGUGGGAGGAGGACGCGGCGUGCAUGGCGUGGCUGGACGCGCAACCGGUGGCGGGGUCGGUGCUGUACGUCAGCUUCGGGAGCCUGGCGGUGCUGUCGCUGGACCAGCUGGCGGAGUUCGCGUGGGGCCUCGCCGCCAGCAACCGCCCGUUCCUCUGGGUCGUGCGGCCCGGCCUCGUCGCCGGCGACCGCGGCAUGGAAGCCCUGCCCGCCGACUUCCUCGCGGAGACCAAAGGGCGGCGCUUCAUCGCCGAGUGGUGCGCGCAGGAGCAGGUGCUGCGGCACCGCGCCGUGGGGGGCUUCCUGACGCACAGCGGGUGGAACUCGACGACGGAGAGCAUCUGGGCCGGCGUGCCGAUGAUCUGCGCGCCGGGGUUCGCGGACCAGUACAUCAACAGCCGGUACGUGUGCGGGGAGUGGGGCGUCGGGCUGCGCCUGGACGAGCAGCUGCGGCGAGAGCAGGUGGCGGCGCACAUCGAGGAGCUCAUGGGCGGUGGCGAGGGGGGCGAGGAGAUGAGGCGCCGCGCCGCCGAGUGGAAGGCUCGGGCCGAGGCGGCCACGGCGCCCGGAGGGUCGGCGUACGAGAACCUCGACAAGCUGGUCGAGGAGCUGCGGCUGGAGGUGCCGGACGGCGGCAAGCCUGCCAAAGUCACGCACGCCCGGUGA
rnacentral:rRNA from 1 species